CAUGCAAGUCGAACGGUGAAGCAGAGCUUGCUCUGUUGGAUCAGUGGCGAACGGGUGAGUAACACGUGAGCAAUCUGCCCCUGACUCUGGGAUAAGCGCUGGAAACGGCGUCUAAUACCGGAUACGAGCUGCGACCGCAUGGUCAGUAGCUGGAAAGAAUUUCGGUCAGGGAUGAGCUCGCGGCCUAUCAGCUUGUUGGUGAGGUAAUGGCUCACCAAGGCGUCGACGGGUAGCCGGCCUGAGAGGGUGACCGGCCACACUGGGACUGAGACACGGCCCAGACUCCUACGGGAGGCAGCAGUGGGGAAUAUUGCACAAUGGGCGCAAGCCUGAUGCAGCAACGCCGCGUGAGGGAUGACGGCCUUCGGGUUGUAAACCUCUUUUAGCAGGGAAGAAGCGAAAGUGACGGUACCUGCASAAAAAGCGCCGGCUAACUACGUGCCAGCAGCCGCGGUAAUACGUAGGGCGCAAGCGUUAUCCGGAAUUAUUGGGCGUAAAGAGCUCGUAGGCCGUCUGUCGCGUCUGAUGAGAAAACCCGAGGGCUCAACCUCGGGCCUGCAGUGGGUACGGGCAGACUAGAGUGCGGUAGGGGAGAUUGGAAUUCCUGGUGUAGCGGUGGAAUGCGCAGAUAUCAGGAGGAACACCGAUGGCGAAGGCAGAUCUCUGGGCCGUAACUGACGCUGAGGAGCGAAAGGGUGGGGAGCAAACAGGCUUAGAUACCCUGGUAGUCCACCCCGUAAACGUUGGGAACUAGUUGUGGGGUCCAUUCCACGGAUUCCGUGACGCAGCUAACGCAUUAAGUUCCCCGCCUGGGGAGUACGGCCGCAAGGCUAAAACUCAAAGGAAUUGACGGGGACCCGCACAAGCGGCGGAGCAUGCGGAUUAAUUCGAUGCAACGCGAAGAACCUUACCAAGGCUUGACAUAUAGAGGAAACGUCUGGAAACAGUCGCCCCGCAAGGUCUCUAUACAGGUGGUGCAUGGUUGUCGUCAGCUCGUGUCGUGAGAUGUUGGGUUAAGUCCCGCAACGAGCGCAACCCUCGUUCUAUGUUGCCAGCACGUAAUGGUGGGAACUCAUGGGAUACUGCCGGGGUCAACUCGGAGGAAGGUGGGGAUGACGUCAAAUCAUCAUGCCCCUUAUGUCUUGGGCUUCACGCAUGCUACAAUGGCCGGUACAAAGGGCUGCAAUACCGUGAGGUGGAGCGAAUCCCAAAAAGCCGGUCCCAGUUCGGAUUGAGGUCUGCAACUCGACCUCAUGAAGUCGGAGUCGCUAGUAAUCGCAGAUCAGCAACGCUGCGGUGAAUACGUUCCCGGGUCUUGUACACACCGCCCGUCAAGUCAUGAAAGUCGGUAACACCUGAAGCCGGUGGCCCAACCCUUGUGGAGG
rnacentral:rRNA from 1 species